AUUGAACGCUGGCGGCAUGCCUAACACAUGCAAGUCGAACGGCAGCAUGAUUAGUAGCAAUACUAAUUGAUGGCGAGUGGCGGACGGGUAAGUAACACGUAGGAAUCUGCCUUGAAGAGGGGGAUAACCCGGGGAAACUCGGGCUAAUACCGCAUACUACUCUGAGGAGGAAAGCUUGGUUUACCAGGCACUUUGAGAGGAGCCUACGUCCGAUUAGCUAGUUGGUGGGGUAAAAGCCUACCAAGGCGAUGACCGGUAGCUGGUCUGAGAGGAUGACCAGCCACACUGGGACUGAGACACGGCCCAGACUCCUACGGGAGGCAGCAGUGGGGAAUAUUGGACAAUGGGGGCAACCCUGAUCCAGCGAUGCCGCGUGUGUGAAGAAGGCCU
rnacentral:rRNA from 1 species